ACGGAAGUCCCACAGCCGACUCUUCUGGAAGAUGAGCACCUGUGGAGUCUCCUUGCAUGGCGUUGGGCUGCAGACCCGGGUUCAAGUUCGGGCUUUGCCACUUCUAGAGAACAGGGGUAACAGGAGUGCCCGCCUCCUCUCAUUGCAUGAGGGUGACCCGGGUUUUGAAAGAUUUGCUCCAGUCCACUGAGCCGAGAGUGGGGAAUGGAUUGCCCACGUCACCAGCCAAGCAGUGGCAGAAAUGCAACCAGAGCCGGACGGAGUAGAGAACAGCUCAAAACUCCCACCAGCACUGCUCUCCCCAGCUCCGCGUUACAGUGACAGCAUCUUCCUGCUGAUGCGUGUUCCUGCCCAGGCCUGGGAUGUUGCCAAGACCAACGGGAGCUUCCAGGCUCCUGGCCCUUUGACUUCUGAGCGCCUCCUGCGGUUGCUUUCAGCCCCCACCCUCCGAAGAUGCCGUGGGACCCGGGCAGGCGCCCACACGGGGCUCCUGGCCCAGCCCUUGGAACCGGUGGGGCCGCCUUUCUCACCGACGCCACCCCCCUCAGCCCACCCACCACCCCCAGAGCCACAACCCCGGGCACUGCCGACCCUGAAUCAUCCACCCGCAUAGGCUCUGCUCCUGAGCUAUGAGGAAGACGCCUUCUCAGCCGAAUUCCCCGCUCUGCCCCUGGCUGGAGGCGGCACCAGGAAAGCUCAGAAGGGGCUGCCUCCCAGCGGGUCAUGACCCAGCCGAGCCGCAGGUGCCUGGAGGUCACCUGGGGGCUCUUCCCACGAACCUCUCUGCCCCCGUCGAGGGUAACAGCAGCAAUUUACAACCAACCCAUGGGGUGCCAGGCACCUCGCCAGGGACUUUCAAGGCAGUCCUUGGUUUAAUGUACACUAUCUCCUGGGUGGGGGGCGGCAGUGCGUCCUGGGGUUCAGCACAGGGUUUCUGACCAGGCUGCCUGGGCUCGAGUCCUAGCAAUGCCACAUGCUAGCUGUGUGGCCUUGGGCAAGUUCUGUCACCUCUCUGUGCCUCCGCGCUCCUGCAGCCCUGGGAUGCUGCAAUGACAGGCUCGUGGUUGAGGGAGGGGCUGACACACACCAGGGGCCCAGAGCAGCAGUGCCACCCGCGGCUCACGCUCUAUAACGUUCGCAAUGGUUGGGAUCCCUGUUUCACAGAUGGCAAAAGCGAGGCUCAGAGACGAUGACCUCCUUGCCCAGAGCACACCGCUGAGCGAGCCAGGUCUGUGUCAUUCCAGAAUUAAUGGCCCAUUUUAUUGCCACGUGAGUGCGUGUUUAUUGCCACCUCAGCACUUCACCUGAAUGGUUUUCUGCAGCUGGGACCGGCCAGGGCCCUGGGUUCCACCUGAGGCAAAUGUCUAGGGACUCUAGCCUGGCCUUGAAUUCUGUCCCAUAACUUACUUACUUACUUACUUACUUACUUACUUACUUUAUUUAUUUAUUUAUUUAUUUAUUUAUUAAAAAGAUUUUAAUUAUUUAUUUGACAGAAAG